rnacentral:misc_RNA from 1 species
AACGGUCUAUACCUGCGGUACCUGCGGAAGGAUCAUUACCGAGUUAGGGUCUUUUGGCCCGACCUCCAACCCUUUGUUUAUUAUACCAUGUUGCUUUGGUGGGCCUGCCUUUCGGGGCUGCCGGGGGCAUCACUGCCCCUGACUCGUGCCUGCCAGGAGCCUUCUUAAAUUCAGUGUUCAACGGUGCUGUCUGAGUCCCAGUAUCAAAAUAUCAAAAACUUUUAACAACGGAUCUCUAGA